UUAAGCUCUUGAAAUCUCUCUUGAGUCUGAAUCUAAUUAGAGCAUUUGUUGUCCUAAAGCUCCCCAAACUAAUGCUUAAAAGCUUUCACACGCGCUGAAUUCUGUGCCAUGGGUCAAGAUCCACAAUUGUUGCCAGUGACUCACUACACGCCAUAGAGGCUUGUUAGACCUCUAGGAAUUGAUCAAGAAAAAUUAUGAAGACUUAUUUAAGAAAGAAACACAACAAUCUCUAAGCUAUUAUUGGGAAAAAAAGUUUUUUGGACUUGCGUUAUUUUGAUUUCUACUUGGAAUAUGGUCUCCAUAUUUUUACUUAUGGUUACAAGGUUUCAUACUGAUUCCACAAGCAUUGGGGUUACGACGACAUAUAUUCAUUUUCUGAACACUUUUCCUUCAGUAAGCAUAUGCCUUUCAAAGCAACGGAUAAGUGCUGAGUUUAAAACAUCCUUAAAAGAAAAAGUAUUUUCUAAUGAAGCUUCUCCGGAUAACUAUAUAAGAGCUUUAUACGACUACCUCUUCAUAAACCCAAAUAACUUGAAUAUAAAAGAAGCUUAUUGUAAGGGCUAUAAUGCAACUUGUGGUAUAGACAUCUUGGAAUUGAGAAAGAUGAUAGUUAGGGUGUACACGAAGUGUUGUAUCGUUGUAUCGUUGUAAAAGGGUAAGCUUACUUCAACAAUUGUAUGUGAAUGUGACUUGCAAAGCGAACAAGACCCCAGCCGUUGACUACGAAAAUCGUUGUAACCAAAUUGUGUGGCAAAAAAUAUCAUUUGCAACAAUACAACAUUUUCUGAACACUCUAAAGCUUCGCGUGCUCAAAUAUGUGUGUACUCAGAAAAUGCAUUUAAGCUUACGCUUACCUGGAAGAUGAGAAAAAGUGAGUAUAGAGAUAUGCUUCGGGGCGAUCAAAUAAAAAGAAAAGAAGCGACGCGCAAAAUACGAAGCGACAGAGAAAGAAGCAGAUGAAGACAAAAUGAACAGCACAUUCGCAAUACGGCGCGCAAAUAAAGCAAAUCGUGAACGAGAGAGCGAGAUUGGCGAAAAUGAAGAUAUUUUGGCUAAAAAACAAGAAGUGAAGAAUGUUCUAGCAGAAGUGAAUAAAACGAAUGCACAAAAGUACAAUGAAGAAGAAAUAAGCAGUAGUGUUGAUGAAAAUAAAAAGUACGACGAAGAAAUACACACACAUGUGCAUAAUAGUGAUUUGGCGGCGCUAAUAAGAAUAAUGUCAGAGAAGUGUAAUGAUAAACAAAGCAAUAACAAUAUCACAAUUGAUGCAUUUGCAAAAAUUGUUGCUGAUGGUAGCUCGUUUCCAGUCCUGAAUUGGGUGCUCAAUUUUAAUGAAAUUGCAGAGGCAUACGGGUUAACUGAAAAACAAAAAUAUGUAAAAGCGCGAAAUAAAAUGACCGAUUCUGCAAAGUUAUUUUUGGAAACAAUCACAGUGUCAAAUUAUGAAUCGUUGUGUGAAUUUUAAUUAAAGAAUUUGAAAAACAGCUGAGCGGUGCAGAGGUACACAAACUAUUGCGAAAUAGAAAAAAGCUUAUUGCAGAAAAUUUUCAUAAAUAUGUUUUACAAAUGCUUAAAAUAGCGGCU